rnacentral:miRNA from 1 species
AGGGAGAAGGCUCGGGCAGGGAGGCAGGGCAGGGCUCUGGGGUGGGGGGUCUGUGAGUCAGCCACGGCUCUGCCCACGUCUCCCCC